rnacentral:rRNA from 1 species
CGCAUGACUAGAGGCGGGAGAGGUGGAUGGUACUCCAUGGGUAGGGGUAAAAUCCUUUGAUCCAUGGAAGACCACCAGUGGCGAAGCGGUCCGCAGAACGCGCUCGACGGUGAGGGAUGAAAGCUGGGGGAGCGAACCGGAUUAGAUACCCGGGUAGUCCCAGCUGUAAACGAUGCGAGCUAGUGGUGGAGUGGCCGUGUGCUAUUCCAAUGCCGCAGGGAAGCCGUUAAGCUCGCCGCCUGGGGAGUACGGCCGCAAGGCUGAAACUUAAAGGAAUUGGCGGGGGAGCACCACAAGGGGUGAAGCCUGCGGUUUAAUUGGAGUCAACGCCGGGAACCUUACCCAGGGAGACAGCAGAAUGAAGGUCAGGUCAAAGACCUUACCAGACAAGCUGAGAGGAGGUGCAUGGCCGUCGCCAGCUCGUGCCGUGAGGCGUCCUGUUAAGUCAGGCAACGAGCGAGAUCCCUACCGCUAGUUGCUACUCCCAUCCGAAAGGAUCGAGAAGCUAGUUAGUGGGACUGCUGCCGCUAAGCGGAGGAAGGAAGGGGCCACGGCAGGUCAGUAUGCCCCGAAACCCUGGGGCCACACGCGGGCUGCAAUGGUAGGAACAGCGGGCUCCGACUCGAAAGGGGGAGGCAAUCCCCAAACCUACCCCAGUUGUGAUUGAGGGCUGCAACCCGCCUCAUGAAU